rnacentral:rRNA from 1 species
UACGGAGGGUGCAAGCGUUGUCCGGAUUUAUUGGGUUUAAAGGGUUCGUAGGCGGUAUUGUAAGUCAGUGGUGAAAUCCUUCGGCUCAACCGAAGAACUGCCAUUGAUACUGCAGUACUAGAGUAUAAUUGAGGUAGUUGGAAUGCGUAGUGUAGCGGUGAAAUGCAUAGAUAUUACGCAGAACGCCAAUUGCGAAGGCAGAUUACUAAUAAUCAACUGACACUGAUGGACGAAAGCGUGGGUAGCGAACAGG